rnacentral:tRNA from 1 species
GCCCUCGUAGUAUAGUGGUUAGUAUAGAGGAUUGUGGAUCCUCGGACAGGAGUUCGAUUCCCCUCGGGGGCC